rnacentral:rRNA from 1 species
AGCCAGCAGCCGCGGUAAUACGUAGGGGGCUAGCGUUGUCCGGAAUCAUUGGGCGUAAAGCGCGCGUAGGCGGCCCGGUAAGUCCGCUGUAAAAGUCAAAGGCUCAACCUUUGAAUGUCAGUGGAUACUGCCGGGCUAGAGUCCGGAAGAGGCGAGUGGAAUUCCUGGUGUAGCGGUGGAAUGCGCAGAUAUCAGGAGGAACACCAACGGCGAAGGCAGCUCGCUGGGACGGUACUGACGCUGAGGCGCGAAAGCGUGGGGAGCGAACAGGAUUAGAUACCCUGGUAGUCCACGCCGUAAACGAUGGGCACUAGGUGUGGGAGGUGUCGACUCCUCCCGUGCCGGCGCUAACGCAUUAAGUGCCCCGCCUGGGGAGUACGGCCGCAAGGCUAAAACUCAAAGGAAUUGACGGGGGCCCGCACAAGC